CGCUUCAGCCAUACCCUUCGUCGGAACCACCACUAAAACCCUACUACCCACUACCACAAUCAAACUAUUCACCCACAUGGGGACAGCCCAGAGGUACUCUGGAUCUUAUGGAAGCUGUCAUAAUUGUAAACAAGCUGGGCACAUGGUGCGACAGUGUCCGCACCCAAUAACCCCGGCCCAAAGCCAGUUUCUGGCCAAAAGGGGACGAGGAUACGCCCCUAGACCAAGGGGAGUCAGGCCAAUGAUGUAUCAACCACGUGCGGCCCUUCAACCCGCAUACAAUCACCCAAUCCAGACCCGAAUCAGCAAUCACCUCCCCCUUUUCAGGGCAUGGCUGACGAAUAUGCCCCAUGGCCCUGAAGCUGCUCACCACUAAACUACACUCAUCAUUUUCCUGGACUACUGAAGCAUCAAAGGCUUUUGCACUCUUGAAAACAGAUCUCUAAGUGGCAGUAGCCCUAACAGCACCUGACUAAAAAACAAAAAAAAACAAAUUCC